rnacentral:rRNA from 1 species
AUUGAACGCUGGCGGAAUGCUUUACACAUGCAAGUCGAGCGGCAGCACGGGGGCAACCCUGGUGGCGAGCGGCGAACGGGAGAGUAAUACAUCGGAACAUGUCCAGUCGUGGGGGAUAACACUUCGAAAGAAGUGCUAAUACCGCAUACGUCCUGUGGGGGAAAGUGGGGGAUCGCAAGACCUCGCGCGAUUGGAGUGGCCGAUGCCAGAUUAGCUAGUUGGUGGGGUAAAGGCCUACCAAGGCAACGAUCUGUAGCUGGUCUGAGAGGAUGAUCAGCCACACUGGGACUGAGACACGGCCCAGACUCCUACGGGAGGCCGCAGUGGGGAAGUUUGGACAAUGGGGGCAACCCUGAUCCAGCCAUUCCGCGUGAGUGAAGAAGGCCUUCGGGUUGUAAAGCUCUUUCGGCAGGAACGAAACGGUGAGCUCUAACAUAGCUUGCUAAUGACGGUACCUGAAGAAGAAGCACCGGCUAACUACGCG